GAUGAACGCUGGCGGCGUGCCUAAUACAUGCAAGUCGAGCGAACGGACGAGAAGCUUGCUUCUCUGAUGUUAGCGGCGGACGGGUGAGUAACACGUGGAUAACCUACCUAUAAGACUGGGAUAACUUCGGGAAACCGGAGCUAAUACCGGAUAAUAUUUUGAACCGCAUGGUUCAAAAGUGAAAGACGGUCUUGCUGUCACUUAUAGAUGGAUCCGCGCUGCAUUAGCUAGUUGGUAAGGUAACGGCUUACCAAGGCAACGAUGCGUAGCCGACCUGAGAGGGUGAGCGGCCACACUGGAACUGAGACACGGUCCAGACUCCUACGGGAGGCAGCAGUAGGGAAUCUUCCGCAAUGGGCGAAAGCCUGACGGAGCAACGCCGCGUGAGUGAUGAAGGUCUUCGGAUCGUAAAGCUCUGUUAUUAGGGAAGAACAAAUGUGUAAUUAACUAUGCACGUCUUGACGGUACCUAAUCAGAAAGCCACGGCUAACUACGUG
rnacentral:rRNA from 1 species